UGGGCUGCAAAGGGAAUUGUCUAGAAGGGCAAGGAGGUCGUUUCGCCGUUCAGUUGAUAUUGAACCAACUUUUUUGAUCACCUCCAGUCCCAACCAAAUAAAUCCCGUGGUAUUGAAACUAUCCGAGGGUGGGCUGCGCAAAGUGACACUGAAUUAUGGUGGCCCAGUUUACAUCCUUGUACAUGGCUGGAAGUCAUCUGGCAGCUUGUCUAGCAGUUCGUCUAGCAGCUCGUCUAUCAGUUCGUCUAGCAGCUCGUCUAGCAGCUUGUCUAGCAGUUCGUCUAGCAACUCGCCUAGCAGCUCGUCUAGCAGUUCGUCUAGCAGCUCGUCUAACAGUUCGUCUGGCAGUUCGUCUGGCAACUCUUCCCUCAGUUCUGCGACCUCUUCUCCUGUAUCGAGCUGGACAAGGGUGUUGGCAGGCGAGCUGUUAAGGACUAAUGUUACAGCUAACGUUGUAGAGAUGGACUGGACAGU
rnacentral:lncRNA from 1 species